CUCGCCGCGCCCCGGAGCGCCCUCCCAGCCGUCGGGGGCCUGGCGGCCUUCUGCCUGCGCUCUCCCGAGCCCUGAGAGCCCUGUGCUCCUGAGGCUUGGAAGCAAACGCUGUCGCCAGACAAGGACGAAGCAGCGAGGGUGUGUGGCCGCGAGCGCUGUGAGGACAGAGGCCGCUGUGCUAGUCCUGGGUCCCUGGGGCUUGAGCUGGGCCUUGGAGCAGGAAAGAGACAGGUGGGGGGUCCGCCACCUGAGCGGUGCAGUGAGUUUGGAGAGAACUCCCUGUAAAGUAGAGAAGAGAAAGGCGUCAACAUUUGACCUAACUGGGCCUCUGACCUGUGCUACUGAUUCUCCAAGAUGGAUUGGGCAAUUUCUGCUGACCUUGAAGAACCAAGAGACACUCUGUGGAGAGUGGAUGCCUCCAGUUGCUGAGGGCAGUCUCCACAAAGGAAGUGAGCUCUGUUAACAACCCUGUGAACUUCAGCGAGAACCCUGAGAUCCAGAAAAAAAAAACAACACAGCUCAGCCAACACCACAGUUUCAACUCUGUGAGACUCUUGAGUAGAGAGAGGACCCAGCCCAGACAACCUUGGGCUUCUGAUCCAUGGGAACUGCGAAUACCAAGCUAAGAACACACAGUCCAGUUUUCAAGCUGUUCAAAAUCUAUGG